rnacentral:tRNA from 1 species
GCGGCGAUGAUCUAGUGGCUAUGAUACUACCCUGCCACGGUGGAAGCCCGAGUUCGAUUCUCGGUCGCCGCA